rnacentral:misc_RNA from 1 species
AAUCAGUCGCCUUUGCUUGCUCAAGGACUUGAUGAACUAAACUGCCUCUUCUAUGAUGAAUCAAUCCCUGCCAUCCUACAAUGUGUGAGGAUGAGGAUCAGGGGGGAACAUGGUUACAAGGAAGCGGUGAAUCAUCUCAAAACUGGUAAAUGUGAUAACAGCUGCAGGGGUAGUUCGGAUUAGGUUGGUUGCACAACCACGGUAAAAGCCAGUGAUGCCUUCUUGAUGAAAGACUUUCUUAAUGCAGUCAACUACACCAGAGUACCGUUUUUCAGAAUGGCGCCCCUGCUCUUGAAGCCUUGAACGUACAACCUCAUGUGGAUAUGUCAAUGUAGAAGCAAAUAUUUUGGAGACUGAUGAUGCAACGGCAACAUCAGGGGCCCCAAGUUUAUCCGUUGAAGUGUUAGCUCGCUUGGCCAAGUAAAUCUUAAUUUUCUCAUAAGUCGGAAAUUGGAUAGCAACAUGACUAACACCAGCCAAAGCAGGCACCAGACCGCUGUACAAUCCACGAAUACCCUCUUCAUAUGCUAUUCUCCUUAAAGCAGAUAAUGUACCCCUGUAAGGCUCAAAGCCUGUCCUCAUUCCUUGAGUCUGAAGACGUGUCUUCACAACCCAGAGAGGAUUUGUUGCAAUUGUGGUUGCAGCUCCGGCACCAGAAGCAGCUAACAUGUUUGCACCUAUCGUGAGUUGAUGGCUUCCAUCAUCAGAGCCAAGAAAUCUUUUCAGCUGAUCAUAUAUAGUAAAAUAUACCGCCCAGUUUGGAAGUAAUGCUAGCACUGUUGGGGAAAGCCCUCUGUACAUUCCACGCAACCCCUCUUUUUGAAAUAUAUGCUCCAAAUUCCCAACUAUAAGACUACCUCUAACAUUAGCAUUUCCUAGCUUCGGCAGCCCAUGAACCUGCAGCCUAGUCUUAAUAACAUCUAAAGGGCACACAAAAGUCGCAGCAAUUACUCCAGCAGCGGCACCAGCACCAGCAUUACAAAG